GGCCUUGUAGUCUAGAGGUACGAUACUUGCUUUGGGUACACAAUUGCAAGUGGCCUGGGUUCGAUUCCCAGCAAGGCCC
rfam:Hydnomerulius pinastri MD-312 unplaced genomic scaffold scaffold_240, whole genome shotgun sequence.